AACGCAUCUUGCGCUCUUUGGUAUUCCAAAGAGCAUGCCUGUUUGAGUGUCAUUAAAUUCUCAACUGUACCAAUCUUGUUGGUGUAGCUUGGAUUUGGGGGACCAUUUGCAGGCCUUUCAAUUGAAUGAAGCCAGCUCCUCUGAAAUUGAUUAGUGGUACCUUUGUGGAACCAAAGGCAUGAUAAAUAUCUAUGCCUUAGAUGUCCACAGCAAUAGGUUAUGCUGCUUCUAAUUAACUGAUUAAUGACAAAAUUGACCUCAAAUCAGGUAGGACUACCCGCUGAACUUAA
rnacentral:misc_RNA from 1 species